UGUUACGACCCCACUCGGUCUAGGGGUAGGGGGAAGUAAACAUUCAAACCAGGUGUUGUUGGUUUUAUGAAAGAAAGAGUAAUUUAUUUCUUUUUAGUUCAGUUUCCGUUAUUUUUAACAAAACAAACAAAAGGAGGAUACUUAACAAAGUACAAACCGUUUGAAAAUAAAAAGGGGUAAAACCCAAAAUACACAACCAUAAAUUUAACAAAAUACACAACCAUCAGUAAUUUAACUAAAAAUAACCCCCCAAAAGGAGGGACAAACUAAUUCAACAGUUUCCUAAAUCAAAAACGUCCCUGCUAACAAAAAGCAAACAAACAAAUCAAGACAAAGCCCAAUCAACUUUAAAGAGACUCCUUUGAGCCAAGAUGGAGUCAUCAAGCAGGUGAGCACACAAAAAUAACCAAGCUUCCCAACGAGCAGGUAAGCAUACAAAAAUAACCAAGCUUCAAAAUUUUACAACACCAAAGUCAUAAGUGGCGAGCUGUUCUGUCCAAAUACCAGCUGCCUUUAGUGGCAGGUGCAGAGAGUUUAUAUAAUGUAGUCCCUUCUUGAUUGGCGGCGAAUUCAGAAGAACCAGGAAAUGAAUAGUCCAACAUGAACUCCCGGAGACGUCCAGCAGGAGGAGUGCAGAGCACGCAGGGAGAUCAGAGUCCGUCAGGAACAGCGAAGAAGAGGGUAUCCAGCGAAGAAGAAAUCCGAUCCUAUCAGAAACAGCGGUACCGAUAGCACGGAGGAAAACGGUGCUUUUCAGCGACAUCGGCUGGCCAGUCUGUUGAUGAAGUGUGUCUUGUCGCUGCGUUUCAGGCAAACCAUAUGGAGCUGAUGGUUACCCACAUGUGCGAGGAAAAUUCUGCUCCACAAAACAGGUAUCUCAAGACAGUAUCCUAAUUUUGUGAUUACUUUUAUUAAUUCCGGAUUCAAUCCAGAGUUGGCAGGUCACAUUGAUGUUAUAAUAACCUGUUUGUGUGGACUUUAACCAUCUUGUUGUGGGAGUCUGGGAGACUCUGUCUCCUUUCGUUGUGCAUUCCACUAUUCCUCCACCAAAUGGUGUUAGUGAGCAUGGUGGCUGGCCUCAUCAGGAGAGGAGUAUAUAAGGAGCCUGCUGCCAGCAAUUCUUUGCCUGAGUGUUAACCAACAGUGGUUUGCUUUCGAGCUCUUGAUACCGUUCCAGCUCAGUUUCAUGGGCUCUGAGCUCACCUGCAGGAACUCCAGUUCCCUCCUCAGUUUGCAGUUCCUGGCUGGUGACUUCCUGGCUCCUCAUUCUUCCGCCUCCCCUGCGAUUAAAGCCUGCUCACCGUCCACCGUUCUCCCCUCUCAGGGAAACCAUUCAUCCCUUUGAACUCGUCAUCCUCCUGGACCAUUCAAAUCUCCUGGAUCAGACUCAAUCCGCCCUGGCUGACUUCAGACUCCCGGGCCUUGCUAAUUCCUCCCUGGCAGAUCACCAGACCAUCUCCAAUGCUCAGCAGAGAACCCGCUCUGUGUUUCCAUUCCCGACUUCCUGGCUCACCUCGCGUUCCUCAUCUACAAUAAACAGUUUAAACCUUUUCUAGCCUCCUGGGUGUGUUCUGCAUGUGGGUCAAGUCAGUACCAAAAGCUAUGACAGAACACUCAGGCCAAGUUGUCCCAGCAGACACACUCAGGAGAGCUCUGUCUGAUCAACAGCAAUAACUUCAGUCGCAUGAGUCAUCUCUCCGAGCUCUCUUGGAACAACAAAGGAAUAUCAAUCAACAAUUAGAACAGAUGGCAACCCGCCUGCUGAAUACCCACGUCAGUCAGUCAACUUCUCCGUCAGAUAGCACUGCAGAAUUACUGGUCUCAAAGCUGCUCUCUCAUUCUCAAGAUGUGCAACUCCUCCUCGGCCACAUUUUAGUCCCACCUCCUCAGAACCUGAACCCAAGCAGAUCGGGCAGACCAGGCUUUCCCCAGAGGAACGGUGGCGCUGAAGAGAGUCAAACCAGUGCAUUUACUGUGGUUCACCUGGUCACUUCAUUGCUUCCUGUCCAAUUCGCCUAAAAGAGAGGGUCCACCCGUCAUAACGGGGGAACUGGCGGACCAUCAUGCCAGCCGUACUUUUAUUUAACAACGACAGCCUCAGUCUAUCUCCUCUGAUUGAUUCUGGAUGCCAACAGAACCUAAGUGACCAAAACCUUGUGGCUCAAGCUAAGAUCAAAAUAAUACCCGUCUACGCCUCUUAAUGUUUCUGUUCUGGAUGGAAAGGCCCUGCCGAAAAUAACUCAUGAAACCAAACCCAUGGAGUUAAUCAUCUCAGUCUGCCGUCCGGCCAAGCCUGCCAACGGCAAAGCCAGAUGAGGUUGACCCCAUAGACCUAACUCUUCUGCCUGAGGAGCACCACGAUUUCAAACAAGUUUUCAGAACAAUUGGAACUGGGUUUGGAAAGGAAGGUCAGCAGAGGUUUUGAGGAGGUGGAAGCUGCCGGAGGAGGGGAUGAUGUGGAACCGAGGAAGUAGGUGUUUCUCGGGGUUCCUGAUCCCGGAGUCCGCGCAGAAGAGGAAUGCACAAAUCCAAAGCUCUCCUUCCAACGGGGCUUUACAAGGACGUGAUAGUUGGAGCACAGAGUUGGUCUUUGAACUCACAGUGGAGAGUGGGCAGGUUCGUUUACAGGUGUGGAGUAAUCCAGAGCUUGGAGGCAGCCAGCUGAUACUUGGUCCAAGGAGCUAGUCAGAGAGAUAGUGAAUCUUGGAUCAGAGCGGAGGUCUUCGCUAGCACUUGGAGUCAGGGUCAAAGGAAACCUAGGAAGGAUCACACAAGAGGUAAGUUUCUAGAAUCUUCUGCAUAGAUGAACGCAGCGUAAUUCUCAGGGCCAGUCUAGUUACCACUGAAGGUUAACACUCAGGCAGUGAAGUGCAGGCUGCAUCUCCAUAUAAAGCUCCAGAGCUGAUUGAUGAUGAGCGACACCUGUACCCACCUCCCGGUGGUUCUGGCACCACCUAGUGACUGACUAAGGUUAUUAGCAGGCAAAAGGAGAGUAGCACUCCCAUGUUCCGACACGUACGGUAUUUGCGGUAAACCAGCUUCUUGUCUGCAGAGAGAUGUUGGUUCCAUCAUCUAUUUAAACAGUGCUUGACAGUGCUAAAACGUGUUUAUUGGUCACAAUAAUUUACAUUAUUAAAACAUUAGGAGCUCCUGAUGUAAAGGAGAAAAAUUUAAGCUUGACACAUUGUUGGAUCUAUCUUUGAGAUUCUUAUUUUGUUAUAGACAUGGAAGUAGUUCUGUAAGUGCCCUGUGUUUUUAACAGCCUUGUCUAAAUCAGAGUUCUCCCUAGGCUGGCCAACAGAACUUGGCUAAAAUGCAUUAAAGAAACUCACCACAUUUAAAUCAUUGAGAGUGACAGACUAGAUACAAAUUAUUUCUAAGCACUGUGAGAAUACAGCGACCAGCUGUUAGCUGCUAAUGACUCUUUUGCUUCUGAGCAAAAAGGGCUAUUUGAAAGUCUUUUAAUGAGUGUGGGAUUAGGACCACCUUCAAAUAAGUGGAAAAUAAAAAGUGCAAUACAUGGACGAGUCAGUCAGUGGAAUGAAUUAUUCAACUCAGAUUUUAACCUUAUUUUUAAAAAUAAGAAUUAAUACCUUUUCCAAAAUGUUGCAUAAAUCUUAUAUCAUCUCAUUCUCAUGAACCCAAGUUUCAUAUAAUGUCUCCUCUCGCGAGCUGUUACACCUGUUGUCAUGUAUAAAUAUCGCUACGUUAUGAUAAAUAACAAAAUAUUCUCAACUACUCAAUUUUAUUUACAACAUUUAGAAGCCAAAUUAGAAAAAAAAUGAACUGUCACAUGAUGUAUCCUAAUAGCAAAUGUACAUUAUAUAGCUGUAAGCAAUGCAACUGGGGAUCUGUGGACUGGCAAGGGUUCCAAUAUUUAGGGAAGGAGGUGCUGCAAAUGUAAUACUGCAAAAACAAAAUGCAUUUUAUACACACUUUGCCACUGCUGUGCCAACAGCAACCACUCAUGCAAAGGUGCAUCCA